rnacentral:rRNA from 1 species
GAGUUUGAUCCUGGCUCAGGAUGAACGCUGGCGGCGUGCCUAACACAUGCAAGUCGAACGAAGCAAUCGGGAUGAAGUUUUCGGAUGGAUUCCUGGUUGACUGAGUGGCGGACGGGUGAGUAACGCGUGGAUAACCUGCCUCACACUGGGGGAUAACAGUUAGAAAUGGCUGCUAAUACCGCAUAAGCGCACAGUACCGCAUGGUACGGUGUGAAAAACCCAGGUGGUGUGAGAUGGAUCCGCGUCUGAUUAGCCAGUUGGCGGGUAACGGCCCACCAAAGCGACGAUCAGUAGCCGACCUGAGAGGGUGACCGGCCACAUUGGGACUGAGACACGGCCCAAACUCCUACGGGAGCAGCAGUGGGGAAUAUUGCACAAUGGGCGAAAGCCUGAUGCAGCGACGCCGCGUGAGUGAAGAAGUAUCUCGGUAUGUAAAGCUCUAUCAGCAGGGAAGAAAAUGACGGUACCU